GUGCCAGCCGCCGCGGUAAUACGAGGGGGGCUAGCGUUGCUCGGAAUUACUGGGCGUAAAGGGAGCGUAGGCGGACAUUUAAGUCAGGGGUGAAAUCCCGGGGCUCAACCUCGGAAUUGCCUUUGAUACUGGGUGUCUUGAGUAUGAGAGAGGUGUGUGGAACUCCGAGUGUAGAGGUGAAAUUCGUAGAUAUUCGGAAGAACACCAGUGGCGAAGGCGACACACUGGCUCAUUACUGACGCUGAGGCUCGAAAGCGUGGGGAGCAAACAGGAUUAGAU
rnacentral:rRNA from 1 species